rnacentral:lncRNA from 1 species
GAUUUUCAUUUCCCUUCGAGUGUAAAAAUGUUGUGUUUGCGUGAGUUUCCUCUGACAUCCGAUUCACUAUCAACAAUUGGAAUACUGUCCAACCUUGAAGAGCUGUACCUUAAAGACACAAUCAUCGAGGGGGAAGAAUGGAACAUGGGGGAGGAAGACACCUUCCAGAAUCUCAAAUGUUUGACAUUGCAGCGAGUGAAUCUUGCUAAGUGGGAGGUUAGAGAGGAAUCCUUUCCUGUGCUUGAGAAAUUACGACAGCGGGAUUGUCGUUAGCUUGAGGAGAUUCAGCCAAGUUUCGGGGAUAUUUGUUCAUUAAAAAGUAUCGAACUGAAGUGGAGCCCUCAACUUGUAGAAUCUGCUCUGAAGAUUAAGCAAGAUGUUGAAGAUAUGAUGGGGGAUAUUCAGGUCCUUGUUUAUAACUGAUCAAGUUUUGAGCAUUUUUACCUUGGGAAAAUAGGUGAGUACAGACGAAUUUAUUACCUCCUCAUUUUCAGUAUAAGUGGCAGAGUUUGACCAGUGUAAUUUUCUUUUGCAGAGUUUGACGAGUUGUUUGCAUAUCAUAUGUUACUGCUCAAGUCCAAAAACAUAUGAUGGAAUAAUUCUUUAGGAAGUUGAUUUGGAGGAUUGCAAGAAGUGAAACAAAAGGUGGGCAACCUCUGUACUAUAUGAAAGUUAUCUUAUAUCUCAGAUUUUUCAAGUUUUUAUAUAUCUUUCAACAAAUACCUUCACAAUCAGCUCAUCGGCGCAUAGAGUUUUAGUUGUGAUGCAGGCUGGUGGAAUUUGGACAAGAGGGGUUGCUCUGAUGGUAAGAAACCCCCACUUCCAACCGAGAGGUUGUGAGUUCGAGUCUCCGAAAGAGCAAGGUGGGAAGUUUCUUGGAGGGAAAGAUGCUGGGGGUCUAUUUGGAAACAGCCUCUCUACCCCAGGGUAGAGGUAAGGUCUGAGUACAUACUACCCUCCCCAGACCCCACUAUGUGGGAUUAUACUAGGUCAAAAUAAUUUGAAUUCCUUUAUUUUCCGAAAAGAAGAGGACAUGAUGAGGGUUAUAGCAUUAAGUUAUUACAAUUUACGUGAUCCCUUGAAGUCGUGCUUGAUUCACCUUGCAAGUAUUCCGAAGGACGAAGUAAUUCCAAUCCGUAAUUUGGAAAUUUUAUGGCCUGCUGAAGGAUUUUUGGAGCAGAGAGAGAAGAAGAGUGUGGAAGAAGUGGUUGCGAUUUAUCUGGAUAAUUUAAUUUCCAGUAGCUUGGUAAUUUCUUUCGAUAAAAUAGGUGACGAUCAGACUUGCCAAAUUCAUGAUCUUGUGCAUGAGUUUUGUUUGAUAAAAGCAAGAGAGGAAAAGUUAUUUGACUUGAUAAGUUCAAGUGCUCCAUCAUCAUCUUCUUCAGAUUUGAUGCCACGUCAAAUGAACAUUGCAUAUAGUAAGUGGCAUAACAACAGGCAUUCUGGUAAACACCUUUAUUCUUUGAGGAUAACUGGACACAAGUUUGGUGACAAUAGUCUUAAUGAUAUAUGUCACCUAAGACACUUGAGGCUUCUUAGAGUGUUGCAACUGGAUGACUCUUCAAUUCUGUUGAGUGAUUCUUUGUUGAAUGAAAUAUGCAGACUGGUUCAUUUGAGAUACUUAGAGAUUCGCACAGAAGUUAAAUCUCUGCCUUCGUCGUUUUCAAAUCUCUUGAAUCUGGAAACUCUGUGGGUGAAUAAAUAUGGACCACCCAUGGUAUUAUUACCAACAAUUUGGAAUCUUAUAAAGUUGCGAGUGCUGGCUAUAUAUAAAUGUUUCUUCUUUGUUUUGUAUAAGAAUGAGUCAAUACUGGUUGCAGAGAACUCAAAGUCAGAGAGCUUGAGAUUAUUACGGGGACUCGAAGUUUCCUAUUCAAAAGACACAGAGGAUAUUUUCAAAAGGUUUCCCAAUCUUCACAAGCUUCGAUUUGAUCUCAAGGAAUCAUGGGAUUGUUCAAGAGGGCGAUAUCGGUUCCCGAAAUUGGACUUCUUAAAUGAACUAGAAUCUCUCGAAGUAACUUUUAUAAGUUCAAAUUCAAAUGAUAGUGCGCUCUCUAUAGCGACAAAUCGGCUUUGGGAUUUUCAUUUCCCUUCGAGUGUAAAAAUGUUGUGUUUGCGUGAGUUUCCUCUGACAUCCGAUUCACUAUCAACAAUUGGAAUACUGUCCAACCUUGAAGAGCUGUACCUUAAAGACACAAUCAUCGAGGGGGAAGAAUGGAACAUGGGGGAGGAAGACACCUUCCAGAAUCUCAAAUGUUUGACAUUGCAGCGAGUGAAUCUUGCUAAGUGGGAGGUUAGAGAGGAAUCCUUUCCUGUGCUUGAGAAAUUACGACAGCGGGAUUGUCGUUAGCUUGAGGAGAUUCAGCCAAGUUUCGGGGAUAUUUGUUCAUUAAAAAGUAUCGAACUGAAGUGGAGCCCUCAACUUGUAGAAUCUGCUCUGAAGAUUAAGCAAGAUGUUGAAGAUAUGAUGGGGGAUAUUCAGGUCCUUGUUUAUAACUGAUCAAGUUUUGAGCAUUUUUACCUUGGGAAAAUAGGUGAGUACAGACGAAUUUAUUACCUCCUCAUUUUCAGUAUAAGUGGCAGAGUUUGACCAGUGUAAUUUUCUUUUGCAGAGUUUGACGAGUUGUUUGCAUAUCAUAUGUUACUGCUCAAGUCCAAAAACAUAUGAUGGAAUAAUUCUUUAGGAAGUUGAUUUGGAGGAUGACAUAUGAUGGAAUAAUUCUUUAGGAAGUGGAUUUGGAGGAUAGCAAGAAGUGAAACAAAAGGUGGGCAACCUCUGUACUAUAUGAAAGUUAUCUUAUAC